UUGGCCCAAGUCCACCACAGCCAUCUGGGAGGCCGGGGCAGGAGGAGCUGACCUUGCAGGCCGCUGCUUGUGAGCUUGCCCAUGACCUUGCCGCCUUCUCCCCUUCCUCUUACUCUGCUGGUCUAGAGGCAUUAGGGCCCACCUACACAGGGCUUGCAUUUCUUCUGGUGUGGUCUAGGGACCUUCAGAAUCUUGCACAGGGCCACUCCCUCCAUAAAGCCUUCUAGAUUUUAUUCAGACUGUACCCCAGGGACCCCUCUUCCUGCCUUCCUCAUACCUCCCUGCUCUACUGAAAGCUGCUAAAUCAAGUCCUUACUUGCCUACACACCUCCCUCUCCAGCCCCAACUCCAGGCUCCAGUCCUUCAGGCCCUGUCUAGCUAACUUUCUAGCUCCUGGUGUCCCUUCUUGCAGCUCUGUUUCAAGUUUUUAGGCUUCUUCCUGUGGCUCCUCCCAGUCUCCCUGACACUUAAGUGAAUAUCACAUUUGCCGGCUCUUUGCUCCACCCACGGGACUCCUGCUUGCGCUCUAACAACCAAUUUUAUGUCACCUCCACCUGAAAGCCCUCCUCAGAUCUGGUAGUCUUCUCUCCUGGCCCUCCUUCUCCUCUUCCUUCUCCUUUUCCGCCACCAGCUCCUCCUAUUCCUCCUCUUUCUUCUCUUCUUUUUUUUUUCUCCUCCUCCUCCCUCCCUCCCUCUCUCUCUCCCAACCCUCCUUUGCUGAUGGAACCCAGGGCUUCCUUGCUCUCCGUGGAGCUACAUCCCUGGCCCCUUUCUUCUAAUCACUGACCAAGCAGCACCUGUACCAGGAGCUGCAAGCUCUGCAGUGAGCAGGACAAGGCUGCACGGAGCUGGCAUUCUGACCACGAGAGUCAAUACAGAUCUGGGGCUCUGAGGAAACACAUGUCAGGGAUGCCUUGUUUCUGCCACAUUUGGAGACACGGAGAAGUUGCUGGAGAGGAAGAGGGAGAGGGAGAAGGAACGGGAGAUGGAGAGGGAGAGGGAGAGGAAGAGAGAGACACCUGUAGCCUUACUUCACUGUUUAUGAAGCCUCCACCUUGCAGACUGUGUCCAGAGAUGCCAGGCAUGGGAUGUCAACUCUUCAGCUUCAUUACUCUGGGCACCACGUCAUCUGGGCCCCUAGCCAGGGAAUUCUGGAAUUCCCACAUGGAUAUUAUGGGCCUAGACAAUUAACAGAUCCCUCUCUCCACCGUCGGUGGUCAUCUCCAUCAGGAACAGCAUUGUGGACCCACUUGUGGGCCUCUAUAGGACCUUGCCCUCAAUGUGGAACAACAAUGGUGGGGACUGCCCCACUCUCCAAAGGGAGUCUGGGUCAACAUACUCUGCCAUUAAAGGAAGACUGGUCCUGAAAUGAGUGCAGCCUAGAGUGUUCCUAGCUGUGACCAUGGAAUGCGGGCUCAGACCUACAGGGAUGCAGAGGUCACACAGGCUCCUGUUCUGAAUAUAAAUAGACACGGGCCCCAGAUCAGACUGAUGGGGCCUACAGUUAAUGGUAUUUAUAUACUUUUCCCAUAUCUGGGAGGUACUCUCUGCCCUGAUACAGCUUUUUAGUCCUAUUUACAACUUUGAUGCUAUUCACCCAGAAAUAUUUUGGUCCACUUGCAUGUUAGCUGUCGGGCUCAGGCAAAAAUUAGUAAAGUCAUGAGCCCCUUGGAAUACACCUAAAAUAGACUUCCUAGUUUUUUCCAUAAUGGAAACUCCAAAUCUCAUCUAUAUUCUUACCUUUAGGUUCCUGAUUAUUAAACAAUUUGUUCUGACUUA